rnacentral:siRNA from 1 species
GACCUAGGUGGUCGAGUGAGUGGU